UACGUAGGGUGCGAGCGUUGUCCGGAAUUACUGGGCGUAAAGAGCUCGUAGGCGGUGUGGCAAGUCGGGAGUGAAAUCUCUGGGCUCAACCCAGAGUCUGCUUCCGAAACUGCUGUGCUUGAGUGUGGGAGAGGCGCGUGGAAUUGCAGGUGUAGCGGUGAAAUGCGUAGAUAUCUGCAGGAACACCCGUGGCGAAAGCGGCGCGCUGGACCACUACUGACGCUGAGGAACGAAAGCUAGGGGAGCAAACAGG
rnacentral:rRNA from 1 species